GCCGCGGAGCUCAGAUGGGAGCGUCAGCUUGAGAGAGCUGAAGAGGGUGGUUCGAGUCCAUCCCGCGGCGCCA
rnacentral:tRNA from 1 species